GGGCGGCCUUCCCCCAGACCCUGCCUCAACCAGCAGCCCCUGCGCAGCUCCAGCCACUCCUAGAAUCUAGGCCUGCUGGUCUGGUCACCUUGCUGAGCUCACCACCCUGCGCCCACCCCAAGUGCCCCCAGCUGGUCUCCUCCCUGUGCGAACCCUGUCUGCUUUUCCUGGCCAUUGCUCUCUCUGAGGCCGUCUUCGGGAGGGAGGGUCAUGCAGCAGGAGGAACCGAGCCUAGAGUGCUUGGGGAGGCGGAGGUGGGGAACAGCGCUACAUCCCAGGGGCCUCCUGUUUUUGUGAAUCUUUUUUUCCAGGGGGCCUUGACAGCAUUUGAGGGCCAGGAGGUAUUCAUCCUUGGCCACCGUGACAGGCUGAUGCUGGGUGGCCCAGAGUGAGUUGGAGGAGGAAAUGCCCAAGGGCCCGUCUCUGGAGUCACUGUUUGCCAUUCCCCUGAGCCAUAGGCAUCCUGAGAUGGUUCCAGUGGCGGACAGGCAUGAGGUGGCCACAGCCAGGCGGCCUGAGCUCUGCUCCCUUUCUGGCCAUGCUCGGGCAGCAGGCUCCUGGAAGAAAAGCCCAGCUUGGGGUGUGUGCUGUCGUCUGUGGCCCGAGCGCCCCACCACUGCUGGUUUCCAGGUGCCAGUGCCCGGCCCUGACUGCGGAGUUGGGAUGAGCCAUGCACGAUCUGCUUGCCAAGCCAUUAUGCCCCAGGCCCAGCAGCCCCCAGCCCCAACCCCGUGCCUUCCUGGGUCUCCAGAGAGGCAGGAAAGCCUGGGGAGAAGGCCACAGCCCCAGUCAGGCUGCCUGGGCCGGAAUCCCGGCUCUGCCUCCGGCGGGGCGAGCUUGGGCCGUGCCCUGGGCUUGGCCUUUAGUUCCUCCCUGUAAAGUGAGGAAAAUGAGGCUCAGGUAAGCACGAUGGGUUCCUCUCUCGGGAGCAGCGUCUGGGAGGCCAGGCCCCUGGGGUCAGUGGCUGGGACAGCAGCGAGGGCCCAGAACAGGGAGCAGAGCCCAGGAUGGGGCAGGCGGGAGCCGCUCCGAGGCCAGGUCGCCAGGGCUGAGUUAACACAAAUGUGAGUCCCUAUCUCUGCUGGCUUGUGUGGUGCGGUCCUCAGAUGUGAGUUGGCUGUGACUGUCACCACUGUCUUUGGGGGCCGAAAAUUCACGGGGACAUUUCCCAGAUACCAGGGCCGCAUCUUAAGGUUCUGACGCUUUUGGAAAAGCCCACACACGCACCGGUGGCUCCUGCGGACACAAACUUCCGCGCCUGCCCAUGUCCCCUCCCAGAAGCGAACCCCUUGAGGGUUCCGCCAAGGGACAGUCAGCCUCCUUGUGAAUGAGCAGGUCCGGGAAGGGCGGGGAGGAGGGCACCUUGCUCCUGCUCAUCGACCUGUUCAACCUCCUGGGCGAAAGGGUUUUGGUUUUUGUUUUUGUUUUUUAAAUCAACAGGGUGAUGUCCCGUCGGGGACAGUGUCUCCCAGGUGGCUGACUCCAGGCGGGUGUCUGUGGCCGCAUCGGCCCCACCUCCUGGACACACCUCUGCUGGCCAAGGGUGACAUAACCCUGUUCCCUGUCACUCUGUUCCCGCUUAUCUCUCCCGCCUUUUGGGCGCCACCACCUUCUUGGAAAUGAGUUGGGCCAAAGGGGAGGGGGCUUAGCAUCCCCGCCUCCCCCAGGAGGCUCCAUAAAAGCAACUGUAACUGGACUCCCGGACACCAGAGCGAGUCCUAGAGCUAACAAGCAGGACAGCUGGACGGACAGACAGCACCAUGGCGCUGAGCGUGCAGAUCCGGGCCGCCUGCCUCCUGCUCCUCCUCCUCGUCAGCCUGACCGCCGGCUCCGUUCUCCCAUCCCAGACAAGACAGCUCACAGACCUCCGGACCCAGGACACAGCAGGAGCCACCGCUGGUUUGACGCCCGUGGCCCAGAGGCUAAGAAGAGACACCCACUUCCCCAUCUGCAUCUUCUGCUGCGGCUGCUGUCGCAAAGCAAUCUGUGGGAUGUGCUGCAAGACGUAGAGCUGCCCACCCUGCCCCAGCCCCUGCGUCACCCCUUAUUUAUUCCGGCUGCCUCCAACCCUGAAUGGUCUUGGAAUAAAAUAGCUUUUCUUUUCCAAA
rnacentral:lncRNA from 1 species